rnacentral:rRNA from 1 species
AUUGAACGCUGGCGGCAGGCCUAACACAUGCAAGUCGAGCGGAUGAAGGGAGCUUGCUCCUGGAUUCAGCGGCGGACGGGUGAGUAAUGCCUAGGAAUCUGCCUGGUAGUGGGGGAUAACGUCCGGAAACGGGCGCUAAUACCGCAUACGUCCUGAGGGAGAAAGUGGGGGAUCUUCGGACCUCACGCUAUCAGAUGAGCCUAGGUCGGAUUAGCUAGUUGGUGGGGUAAAGGCCUACCAAGGCGACGAUCCGUAACUGGUCUGAGAGGAUGAUCAGUCACACUGGAACUGAGACACGGUCCAGACUCCUACGGGAGGCAGCAGUGGGGAAUAUUGGACAAUGGGCGAAAGCCUGAUGGUGCAAUGCCGCGUGGGGGAUGAAGGUCUUCGGAUCGUAAACCCCUGUCACCAAGGACUAAACUUCCGGCUCAUACCGGAACUGAUAACUUGGAGAGGAAGCAGUGGCUAACUCCGUGCCAGCCGCCGCUGUAAC